GUAUGGAAUGUCAAUUUCUAGUAUGAGAAAUUAAUGAUUUAAGUCCUUCUUAAAUGAGGCCAUUUACCCAAAGAGGGUGCCAGGCCCGUAUAACAUUAAUGAUUAUUAGAUGACAUUUCCAAAGAGUCGUGUUGCUUGAUAGUGCAGCACUAAGUGGGUGGUAAACUCCAUCUAAAACUAAAUAUAACCAUGAGACCGAUAGUAAACAAGUACCGUGAGGGAAAGUUGAAAAGAACUCUGAAUAGAGAGUUAAAUAGUACGUGAAACUGCUUAGAGGUUAAGCCCGAUGAACCUGAAUAUCUAUUAUGGAAAAUUCAUCAUUAUGAUUUUAAUAUUUGUAAUAUUAUAAUAAUGGUGUGCAUUUUUUCCAUAAAAGACAUUGUAAUCUAUUAAUAUAAAAGAAUAUAUAAUUUAUCAUAAGUUCAUUAUGCAAUUAGUUUAUUCAAAUUAUUUUGCUUGCAAUUUAAUAUAGAAUAAAUGCUUAUGAUCUGAUAAAGUAUUGAUAGAUUUAUUAUAUAUAGUGCUUAAAUACAUAAUAUAUUUUAUAAAAGCAUAUUAAUUAAUAAUUUUUAUGUUUAUUAUAUGCACUUAUAUGAUUUACAAUGCGAAAGAUUCAGGAUACCUUCGGGACCCGUCUUGAAACACGGACCAAGGAGUCUAACAUAUUUGCAAGUUAUUGGGAAAAAAAACCUAAUAGCGAAAUUAACAUAACUUAAAAAUAUUAUUUAUGGGAUUAGUUUUUAGUCUAUUAAUUAUAAUGGUCUAUUAAUUCAAUCCCGGGGCGUUCUAUACAGUUAUGUAUAAUAGUAUUUAUAUUAU
rnacentral:rRNA from 1 species